UACGUAGGGGGGCAAGCGUUGUCCGGAAUUAUUGGGCGUAAAGAGCUCGUAGGCGGUUUGUCGCGUCGUCCGUGAAAACCCACGGCUUAACUGUGGGCUUGCGGUCGAUACGGGCAGGCUGGAGUUCGGUAGGGGAGACUGGAAUUCCUGGUGUAGCGGUGAAAUGCGCAGAUAUCAGGAGGAACACCGGUGGCGAAGGCGGGUCUCUGGGCCGAUACUGACGCUGAGGAGCGAAAGCGUGGGGAGCGAACAGG
rnacentral:rRNA from 1 species